AAAUUUGCCUUGAAGAAGUGAGCUUGGCUAGAGGCACCCUGUUUAAUUUCAAAGUGCUGCUGACUCAAACUCAUGAGUCCUGGAGGCAGGUAGAGGCACUUGUAGGCUGAGGACCCGUAGAGCCCGGUGUGCCCUGCCCAAGUCCCACCUGGGAAUGGAGUUAUCUCUGUAAAGAUCUUGCUGCCUUUGAGCAAGCACUGCAAACGGGGUAACUGGAACAGCCUUGUCGCGUGUUUCCACCCUUCGUAUGAGCCUGGAAUUGUCUCGCCAUUUAAACGAGUAUUCCUAAAAGGUGAAAAGAGUAGAGAUAAGAAAGCCCAUGAGAAGGUGACAGAGAGGCGCCCUCUGCACACUGUGGUGUUGUCAUUGCCUGAGCGCGUCGAGCCAGACAGACUGCUGAGCGACUAUAUUGAGAAGGAGGUAAAGUAUUUAGGUCAGUUAACGUCCAUACCAGGAUACCUGAAUCCCUCCAGUAGGACUGAAAUCCUGCAUUUCAUAGACAAUGCAAAGAGAGCCCACCAGCUUCCGGGACACUUGACUCA
rnacentral:sRNA from 1 species